rnacentral:rRNA from 1 species
GAUGAACGCUGGCGGCGUGCCUAAUACAUGCAAGUCGAGCGAACAGACGAGGAGCUUGCUCCUCUGACGUUAGCGGCGGACGGGUGAGUAACACGUGGAUAACCUACCUAUAAGACUGGGAUAACUUCGGGAAACCGGAGCUAAUACCGGAUAAUAUAUUGAACCGCAUGGUUCAAUAGUGAAAGACGGUUUUGCUGUCACUUAUAGAUGGAUCCGCGCCGCAUUAGCUAGUUGGUAAGGUAACGGCUUACCAAGGCAACGAUGCGUAGCCGACCUGAGAGGGUGAUCGGCCACACUGGAACUGAGACACGGUCCAGACUCCUACGGGAGGCAGCAGUAGGGAAUCGUCCGCAAUGGGCGAAAGCUUGACGGAGCAACGCCGCGUGAGUGAUGAAGGUCUUCGGAUCGUAAAACUCUGUUAUUAGGGAAGAACAAAUGUGUAAGUAACUAUGCACGUCUUGACGGUACCUAAUCAGAAAGCCACGGCUAACUACGUG